rnacentral:rRNA from 1 species
ACUUAAAUUGAAGAGUUUGAUCAUGGCUCAGAUUGAACGCUGGCGGCAGGCCUAACACAUGCAAGUCGAGCGGUAGCACAGAGAGCUUGCUCUCGGGUGACGAGCGGCGGACGGGUGAGUAAUGUCUGGGAAACUGCCUGAUGGAGGGGAUAACUACUGGAAACGGUAGCUAAUACCGCAUAAUGUCGCAAGAC